rnacentral:rRNA from 1 species
AGAGUUUGAUCCUGGCUCAGGAUGAACGCUGGCAGCAUGCUUAACACAUGCAAGUCGAACGGGAAGUGGUGUUUCCAGUGGUGAACAGGUGAGUAACACGUAAGAACCUGCCCUUGGGAGGGGAACAACAACUGGAAACGGUUGCUAAUACCCCGUAGGCCGAGGAGCAAAAGGAGAAAUCCGCCCAAGGAGGGGCUCGCGUCUGAUUAGCUAGUUGGUGAGGUAAUAGCUUACCAAGGCGAUGAUCAGUAGCUGGUCCAAGAGGAUAAUCAGCCACACUGGGACUGAGACACGGCCCAGACUCCUACAGGAGGCAGCAGUGGGGAAUUUUCCGCAAUGGGCGAAAGCCUGACGGAGCAAUGCCGCGUGGAGGUGGAAGGCUUACGGGUCGUCAACUUCUUUUCUCGGAGAAGAAACAAUGACGGUAUUUGAGGAAUAAGCAUCGGCUAACUCUGUG